rnacentral:rRNA from 1 species
ACGCUGGCGGCAGGCCUAACACAUGCAAGUCGAGCGGUAGAGAGAAGCUUGCUUCUCUUGAGAGCGGCGGACGGGUGAGUAAUGCCUAGGAAUCUGCCUGGUAGUGGGGGAUAACGUCCGGAAACGGACGCUAAUACCGCAUACGUCCUACGGGAGAAAGCAGGGGACCUUCGGGCCUUGCGCUAUCAGAUGAGCCUAGGUCGGAUUAGCUAGUUGGUGGGGUAAUGGCUCACCAAGGCGACGAUCCGUAACUGGUCUGAGAGGAUGAUCAGUCACACUGGAACUGAGACACGGUCCAGACUCCUACGGGAGGCAGCAGUGGGGAAUAUUGGACAAUGGGCGAAAGCCUGAUCCAGCCAUGCCGCGUGUGUGAAGAAGGUCUUCGGAUUGUAAAGCACUUUAAGUUGGGAGGAAGGGCAGUUACUUAAUACGUGAUUGUUUUGACGUUACCGACAGAAUAAGCACCGGCUAACUCUGUGCCAGCAGCCGCGGUAAUACAGAGGGUGCAAGCGUUAAUCGGAAUUACUGGGCGUAAAGCGCGCGUAGGUGGUUCGUUAAGUUGGAUGUGAAAUCCCCGGGCUCAACCUGGGAACUGCAUUCAAAACUGACGAGCUAGAGUAUGGUAGAGGGUGGUGGAAUUUCCUGUGUAGCGGUGAAAUGCGUAGAUAUAGGAAGGAACACCAGUGGCGAAGGCGACCACCUGGACUGAUACUGACACUGAGGUGCGAAAGCGUGGGGAGCAAACAG